ACAAAACAAAUGGACCUUGCCCUUAAGAUCUGGAUCGUUACAACAUUGGUAUUUUUGGGUUUGGUUUCAGCAUGUAACUCCAAAAUAUGCUUUCUGCACAUGGUUAGUUAUUCACAACAGACUGUCUACAGGUAAUAGUAUGGCCAUAUGGAGCAGUGAAAUAAUUAACAAGCAUAUUGAGGAGAUAGAGGAAAGGCGAGGAAGAACAAAAGGGAGGGAAGUCAGCGGCGAGAGAACUCCUGCGACCACUGAAAAAAAAAAUUUAUAAUUUUGCUUUCAAGAAAAAAGAAAAGAGGAGAGAGAGAGUACUUUAAAACAAUUUAUUAAAAAAUAUUCUCUCUCUAGACACUCUAACCUCUUUCUAGAAACUUCUAAAAAAAGUUGCGAUCGGUGGCCGGCGGGCUCUCUUGCCAUCGGUCGCCACCCCCUUUUUAUUUUGUUUUUUUUGUUGUAAUAUAAAGAUCUAUGUUUUUCGUUUUCUGGUUAGUAAGUUGCGGUUUAUGGUGGAAGGUUUAUACAAGUGAAGAUUAACAAGCCCAGAAGUAUAGCUAGAGAAAAAUCAGAGACGUAACGGAUGUGCUACGACAUAAACUCCACCUUCCUUGCGGUGGCGCGUUCGUCGCGCGUUACUCGGUGUGCGUGACUCAGUGUCAAGACCCAAGUACAAGAAUUGAAUGGCGCGUGUCUUUACUGUCUUGAUCUUUGACGCGUGGCAAGUUGAAAGAAACCUCGAGACGGUUGAUCUAUACUAUUAUUGUAGGUUUCGUAUGUGUUAAUGUGUAUACCGGUCUUGUAAACAAAAAAAAUUGGGCUGUUAAUACGCUUGUAAGUUUGCCCCUUUGGGCUUUCAUGAAAUGAAAAGUCGACCAAAAAAAAAACAAUUUAUUAUUA